AGAGUUUGAUCCUGGCUCAGAAUGAACGCUGGCGGCGUGCCUAACACAUGCAAGUCGAGCGAGAAAGUGGCUUCGGCCAUGAGUACAGCGGCGGACGGGUGAGUAACGCGUGGGUAAUCUGCCUGGGAGUGGGGAAUAACCCGAGGAAACUUGGGCUAAUACCGCAUACGUCGUCGAGGCCUUGGCCUCGAUCAGAAAGGUAGCCUCUUCUUGAAAGCUGCCGCUCCUAGAGGAGCCCGCGUCCGAUUAGCUUGUUGGUGGGGUAAUGGCCUACCAAGGCUGCAAUCGGUAGCCGGCCUGAGAGGGUGAUCGGCCACACUGGAACUGAGACACGGUCCAGACUCCUACGGGAGGCAGCAGUGGGGAAUAUUGCGCAAUGGGCGAAAGCCUGACGCAGCAACGCCGCGUGGGGGAUGAAGGCCUUCGGGUCGUAAACCCCUGUCAGGUGGGGCGAAGGGGCAUUGGUUAAGAGCUGGUGUCCUUGACGGUACCACUAGAGGAAGCCCCGGCUAACUCCGUGCCAGCAGCCGCGGUAAUACGGGGGGGGCAAGCGUUAUUCGGAAUUAUUGGGCGUAAAGGGCGUGUAGGCGGCUUGAAAAGUCAAAGGUGAAAUCCCUCGGCUCAACCGGGGAACUGCCUUUGAAACUGUCAGGCUAGAGGCCGGGAGAGGGUAGCGGAAUUCCCAGUGUAGCGGUGAAAUGCGUAGAUAUUGGGAGGAACACCAGU
rnacentral:rRNA from 1 species